UGCCAGCAGCCGCGGUAACACGGAGGGGGUUAGCGUUGUUCGGAAUUACUGGGCGUAAAGCGCACGUAGGCGGACUGUUAAGUUAGAGGUGAAAUCCCGGGGCUCAACCCCGGAACUGCCUUUAAUACUGGCAGUCUAGAGUUCGAGAGAGGUGAGUGGAAUUCCGAGUGUAGAGGUGAAAUUCGUAGAUAUGUGGAGGAAUACCAGUGGCGAAGGCGGCCUCCUGGCUCGAUACUGACGCUGAGGCGCGAAAGCGUGGGGAGCAAACAGGAUUAGAUA
rnacentral:rRNA from 1 species